rnacentral:rRNA from 1 species
AUUGAACGCUGGCGGCAUGCUUUACACAUGCAAGUCGGACGGCAGCGGGGUAGUGCUUGCACUACUGCCGGCGAGUGGCGAACGGGUGAGUAAUAUAUUGGAACGUACCGAGUAAUGGGGGAUAACCAAUCGAAAGAUUGGCUAAUACCGCAUACGCUCUGAGGAGGAAAGCAGGGGACCUUCGGGCCUUGCGUUAUUCGAGCGGCCAAUAUCUGAUUAGCUAGUUGGUGGGGUAAGGGCCUACCAAGGCGACGAUCAGUAGCGGGUCUGAGAGGAUGAUCCGACACACUGGGACUGAGACACGGCCCAGACUCCUACGGGAGGCAGCAGUGGGGAAUUUUGGACAAUGGGCGCAAGCCUGAUCCAGCCAUGCCGCGUGUCUGAAGAAGGCCUUCGGGUUGUAAAGGACUUUUGUUAGGGAAGAAAAAGGAGCGGUUAAUACCCGUUUCUGCUGACGGUACCUAAAGAAUAAGCACCGGCUAACUACGUG